GACAGAGGUGCCGAGCGUUAGGCGGAAUCACUGGGCUUAAAGCGUGUGUAGGUGGAUGCCUAAGUACCUUGUGAAAUCCCACGGCUUAACCGUGGAACUGCUUGGUAUACUGGGUGUCUUGAGCCAGCUAGGGGCUACCGGAACAAAUGGUGGAGCGGUGAAAUGCGUUGAGAUCGGAAGGAACGCCCGUGGCGAAAGCGAGGUCCUGGCGCCUACUGACGCUGAGACGCGAAAGCCAGGGGAGCGAACGGG
rnacentral:rRNA from 1 species